rnacentral:rRNA from 1 species
AUACGUAGGUGGCGAGCGUUGUCCGGAUUUACUGGGUGUAAAGGGCGCGUAGGCGGGCUAUCAAGUCAGAUGUGAAAUACCGGGGCUUAACUCCGGAGCUGCAUUUGAAACUGACAGUCUUGAGUAUCGGAGAGGAAAGCGGAAUUCCUAGUGUAGCGGUGAAAUGCGUAGAUAUUAGGAGGAACACCAGUGGCGAAGGCGGCUUUCUGGACGACAACUGACGCUGAGGCGCGAAAGUGUGGGGAGCAAACAGGAUUAGAUACCCUGGUAGUCCACGCUGUAAACGAUGAAUGCUAGGUGUAGGGGGUAUCGACCCCUUCUGUGCCGCAGUCAACACAAUAAGCAUUCCGCCUGGGGAGUACGGCCGCAAGGUUGAAACUCAAAUGAAUUGGCGGGG